GACGAACGCUGGCGGCGUGCUUAACACAUGCAAGUCGAACGGAAAGGCCCUGCUUUUGUGGGGUGCUCGAGUGGCGAACGGGUGAGUAACACGUGAGUAACCUGCCCUUGACUUUGGGAUAACUUCAGGAAACUGGGGCUAAUACCGGAUAGGAGCUCCUGCUGCAUGGUGGGGGUUGGAAAGUUUCGGCGGUUGGGGAUGGACUCGCGGCUUAUCAGCUUGUUGGUGGGGUAGUGGCUUACCAAGGCUUUGACGGGUAGCCGGCCUGAGAGGGUGACCGGCAACAUGGGGACUGAGAAGCGGCCCAGACUCAGAGGGGAGGCAGAGGGGGGGAAUAUUGAAAAAGGGGCGGAAGCCUAAUGCAGCCACGCCGCGGGGGGGAAGACGGCUUGCGGAUGUAAAACCCUUUCCGCCUGGAAAGGAGAGUGAGUGACGGAAAUGGGAAAAGAAACCCCGGAAAACAACGUG
rnacentral:rRNA from 1 species